rnacentral:rRNA from 1 species
GUAGGUGGCAAGCGUUGUCCGGAAUUAUUGGGCGUAAAGCGCGCGCAGGCGGUCCUUUAAGUCUGAUGUGGGAAGCCCACGGGCUCAACCGUGGAGGGUCAUUGGAAACUGGGGGACUUGAGUACAGAAGAGGAAAGCGGAAUUCCAAGUGUAGCGGUGAAAUGCGUAGAGAUUUGGAGGAACACCAGUGGCGAAGGCGGCUUUCUGGUCUGUAACUGACGCUGAGGCGCGAAAGCGUGGGGAGCAAACAGGAUUAGAUACCCUGGUAGUCCACGCCGUAAACGAUGAGUGCUAAGUGUUAGGGGGUUUCCGCCCCUUAGUGCUGCAGCUAACGCAUUAAGCACUCCGCCUGGGGAGUACGGCCGCAAAGGCUGA